rnacentral:lncRNA from 12 species
AUGCCCACUGUCCAGGGUAGAAGACAAAGUGAGGUGGUGCAGAGUGUGGUGCCUGUUCUGAAACGGUGCCAGUCCAGUCCCCGAGCCUGGGACACGACCACAGAAAGGCCGCCGCUCACCUCUUUGUCAGGGCACCUCUGGGGCGCUGGAUGGGAGGAGCGAGGACAGAAACAGCCCCUGUGCACUCACGUCACUGCAGGAUCUCAGGAACGUCAGGUGGUGAGGUCUUCUCCAGGUUGCCUUCGGGUCUACUCCAAGAAGACGGGAGAGGACUGGCUAGAACACAGGAUGGUCAACAGAUGUGGGGAGCCCUGGCUUCUCACCAGACUCUGGAAGUCUCUGCAGAUCAAGGUGGGGCAGGGCUGGCCUAAGGUCAUGGAUGGAAGAAGCCACAAAGCCCAUGACCAUGGGCCUCCCUCUCCAUACAGUUGUCCACCUUGGUGUGAGGAGGAAGUUGAGGACUGAGAAAGGCUGUCCUGGUGGAGCCCACGAUGGGAGGAACCGCUGGGUGGCCCUUGGCCCCCAGGAACUGUUCUCCCAGAGCAGAGAGGUCAAGUAGGAGGUGGCAUUAUGAGCCUACUGACUCCUUGACCUUCAAGACAAGGCAUGAGCUCUUCCAACCCAGAACUCCCCGUUGGUUGCCAUGGGAACCACGCUGCCCCACAUCUCUCUGCACGUGGUGCGCUCCUACCUUCAGCCCCCUCCAAAGAUGUUUCUACUUCUCAAGACUGGACCAGUCCCAGCCUUGUGAGCCCUGUGAAGUUUCCCAAAACUGGCCAUGGAGGCGCAGGCUCUGUGAUGAGUCCUGCGAAGUCACCACCUCGGGAGGCUGCGUGCUGAGCAGCACAGGAAUGAGGCAAGGAUUCCGGACAACCGUGAGAGCUCCAGCUGGGCCACUCUGGGCAAACAGGACUGUAGCUGGUGGCUGGGCGAGGAGGUGGCUCAGAGAUCUAAAGGAGCCUGGGACUGCCAGCUCACAGCAGAGGCGGCAGGAGUUUUAUGAGGACUUCAGCGAGAGCCUUUGA